rnacentral:rRNA from 1 species
AGUAAAAGUCGUAACAAGGUUUCCGUAGGUGAACCUGCGGAAGGAUCAUUAACGAAUUGCGUUCGGGGUUGUUGCUGGUUUUCUUUGAAACGGGAAAGCACGUGCACGCCUCGCAAUCCAUUUCAAACCACACUUGUGCACUUCAGAGGGAGGCCUCUCUCGGCCUCUCCUCUUUCAUCACUAUAAACCACCUUAAAAGUCCUUUGUAUUUUUUGGUUAAUUAUAAUUGAAAUACAACUUUCAACAACGGAUCUCUUGGCUCUCGCAUCGAUGAAGAACGCAGCGAAAUGCGAUAAGUAAUGUGAAUUGCAGAAUUCAGUGAAUCAUCGAAUCUUUGAACGCACCUUGCGCUCCUCGGCAUUCCGAGGAGCAUGCCUGUUUGAGUGUCGUGUAAUUCUCAAUCUCGACUUGUUUGUUGUAGAUUGGAUUUGGGAGCUUGUCGUGUCUCUUCUCUUUGUGAAAAGAAAAGAGGUUGGACUCUCCUUGAAUGCAUUAGCUCGGUCACGUAGUUUGCCCGACGGUUCACGGUGUGAUAGUCUCACUUCAUCGCCGUUCCAACCGUUGGUGCCUGUGUCAUUGCCGGCUUCAAAUCUCUGGCCCUUGUAAAAGUGCCUUUACACUUUUGAUGCUUGACCUCAAAUCAGGUAGGAUUACCCGCUGAGCUUAAGCAUAUCAAUAAGCGGAGGA